rnacentral:lncRNA from 1 species
CCGCCUCUAUCAAGUGGUAUCAGUUUUCAGGUUGCUCGGUGAGAAUUUCCAGUUUUUCCUAGAUUAGAUUUAUUUUCUUACCUAUUGUCCAAGAAAAAGCCACAAAACAAAAGUUAGAUCUAUUCAUCCAUUGUCCUAGCCAGACUGAGCCUUUGCAAUUUUCUUUUCAUUGUUUGCAUUAUUGAAUUAUCGGUUGCAUCGCCAUGUCGAGUUGCUGGUCUUAGUGUCUACUUCCUUUAGAGUUUCGAGUUCUGUUCACAUUAGUCACGCAGCCGCUGCAUCAUUAUCCCAUCCGCUGUCCACCAUCCCAUCCACCAAUUUCCACCACGUGCUACGCACUGUUUAUUGUCAUAAUCAUAGUUGAGGUCACUCACAUCUUCGCUUGAUCGAAUCUGCAUCUUAUCUAGUUUGUCUUGGAAAGAGGGAGAAAAAGAAGAUAAAGAAAAAAAGAGAGAAAAAAGGAAAGAAAAAAAAGGAAAAAGAGGGAGAAGAAAAAGAAAAAAAAAGCGUGAGAAAAAAAAAGAGAGAAGAAAAAAAAUUGGAUCUAUCUAGAAUCAAUCUCGUACCUGAAUUCGGAUUGGAAUCUGUUUUGUGCACUGUUCAGUAAAACAGGUGUAUCUUCCUCAUACGAAGUCCGUUUUGGCUCCGUGAGUACUCAAAUUGAAGAUAGCGACGAGCCGCAUCUAAAUAGUUGCAGAAGCAAGUUCAAUAUUUGACACCUCAAAAUCGGCUUCUAAAUAGGUCUUUUUGCCCUCCGAAGUUCGUGAACACAGCUUGUUCCAAUUUUUCAGGCCAGUUUUAGAAUUCUUUGACUCCUCAUAUCAACUCGGAAUUGAGUGAUUCUUUUUGCAUUGGAAAGCUUGAGUUAGUAGCAUUCUUUGAAAGAAUUUAUCAGAAAAUUGUCUCAAACUUUUCAAGAGGAAAGUUGGAGAGAGAGUUGUUGUAUAUCCUGCUUGGCAGUUGUUUUUCAUCAUUAUCUUCACUGCCGUUGUGAUCUUCACUUAUAUCUUGCUGUCAAGAGCUACUUAGUAUCCUUCAUUGAUGCUAGUUGUGCUACGCCGUGACCUUAUUAGUGUUCUAGGCUCGCGUCUCUAGUCCGGUCUAGCCUAGGACCAGCACAGUACCGUCGUUGAGCAUUUAUUCAACAUUGCAUCUUUGAAUUGAUUAUUGCUAAUCUUUUGCUACCAUAUAUAGCCAACCCAGCUCCACAUAUUUCUACACCGUGUAUACGUACGCUCCCCUGGCAAUCGCUUUACUCAAUAUUCGGAGUUACUUGACACCGCUGGUUGCCGAUCACCGCCUGCUGCAUGGUAAGAACUUGUAAGACAUUGAUAUUUACUUUACUGUGAGCGUUUUACCACCACAUCCUAGUAUGAUGAGGACAUGACUACCUUGGAUAUGACCAAAAAUAUUGCAUAUAUGCAUAUUUGUCUGGUGAUUUCUAGUGCAAACUAUUCAAUAAUCUAUUUAUGUUAUCCAGAACAAAAAUACUUCACACACUUUUGUGUUUUGUCUAAUUGCAGGUGUAUGGGACAUUUGUACAAUCCACAUAUGAAGAUAAGGAAGAAAGAGAUGUUUAUUUGCUGUCCAAAAAGUUCUCUCACGUCACUUUUGGCCCAAGAGAAGAUAGAGUCCAAGUCUCUCACGUUCUGGAUUCAGAUUCGGACUGCACAGACACACCUGACUCAAAACGCACACAAGUUUUUCGUACGGACUCCGAAUUGGGUGAUUCUUUUUUUGUUGGAAACUAGAUUUCGUGCACUUUCCAACCCAAUUGGAAUCACCUUCAAAUUCGUCCGGAGCGUUGAGUUGUGGACGAAACAAUCUGAUGCUGCAGCAGAAUCCGAGUCAAACUACAAGUCCAAAGGUGUUACAUCACCUCCACUUGGGCCCAUUGGCCUUGUACGACCUAGAUUUAGUUUUAGGCUGCCUUGGGACGUCCUCCCACCUCCUUGGCCACCACCCCUUGCUCCUAUAUAAGUAGAUCCAUCUAGUAGCUUUUCCUUGGGAUUUGUUUAGUUAAAAGUUAGCCAUUGCAACUUCGUGUACUUCGUUUGUGUCCAACGACCAGACCAAGACCGCUUACGGAUCCCCACCAUUAUCAAUACUUCAUAUAUAUUCGCAAUAUUCAGAUUGCUUUAUCAUAUUCUUGCUCGUUCUUCGAUUGCUUGUAGGAAUAGACCUUCGUGGUCAGGCUGACCGUGCUUCCAGCAUCGUCAGUAACCUCUCGGAGUUGGUUUAGCGAUUGCUAAGGUGCAACGUCGUGCACGUUUGUAGUCGGAUCGUCAAAGUCGUCUCCACCAAAUCGAUAGUUAUCAUCUCAUCGAAAGAUCGGGACCCCGCCUCUAUCAAGUGGUAUCAGAUUUCCAGGUUGCUCGGUGAGAUUUUACAGUUUUUCGUAGUUUAGAUCGAGUUUGUUCUUCAUACCUAAAGUCCACGAAAAAGCCACAAAAAAAAUUAGGGUUAGUUCAUCAUAUCCGAACCAAUCUGAGCCUUUGCAUAAUCUUUUUAGGGUUUUGCUUUGUUGAAUUUGCGGUUGCAUCGUCGUGUCUAGUUGCUGGUCUUAGAGUCUAGUCUUUUAGAGUUUCGAGUUCUGGUCAUAAGUUGUCACGCCGCCCCGCACCAUCAUCAUCGCCCCUGCCAUCUACCACCACCGCUUAUCCGCCACCGCUCCGAAUCCGUAUCCAUAUACCACCACCAAUCCGUGUCCAUAUACCAUCACCGAUCCAUAUCCAUAUACUACCACCGCUACCACCACCGCUGCCAUAUACCACCACCAUAUAUCCACCACCAAUCCGAGUUCCUUGCAUAUUAGGUUUGUUUUCGAGAUCCAUCUAGAUUCCGAUUCGUGUUUCCUUGCCGGAGUAGGUUUCGGAAAAAAAAGAAAAAGAAAAAAAAAGAAAAAAAAAGAUAGAAAAAAAAAGAAAAAAAAGAGAGAAGAAAAAAACUGGAUCUAUCUAGAAUCAAUCUGGAAUUGGGUGAUUCUUUUUGCAUUGGAAAGCUUGAGUUAGUAGCAUUCUUUGAAAGAAUUUAUCAGAAAAUUGUCUCAAACUUUUCAAGAGGAAAGUUGGAGAGAGAGUUGUUGUAUAUCCUGCUUGGCAGUUGUUUUUCAUCAUUAUCUUCACUGCCGUUGUGAUCUUCACUUAUAUCUUGCUGUCAAGAGCUACUUAGUAUCCUUCAUUGAUGCUAGUUGUGCUACGCCGUGACCUUAUUAGUGUUCUAGGCUCGCGUCUCUAGUCCGGUCUAGCCUAGGACCAGCACAGUACCGUCGUUGAGCGUUUAUUCAACAUUGCAUCUUUGAAUUGAUUAUUGCUAAUCUUUUGCUACCAUAUAUAGCCAACCCAGCUCCACAUAUUUCUACACCGUGUAUACGUACGCUCCCCUGGCAAUCGCUUUACUCAAUAUUCGGAGUUACUUGACACCGCUGGUUGCCGAUCACCGCCUGCUGCAUGGUAAGAACUUGUAAGACAUUGAUAUUUGCGUUACUGUGAGCGUUUUACCACCACAUCCUAGUAGUUAUAGGAACAUUAUUUUUGGGUUUUGUUUCUUGUUCUACUAAUCAUGACAGGAUCCAGAGUCAAUUCAUGGGCUUUGUCGAUCGCGGGAGACGUGCGACCACCUUUGCAAAUACCACAACCGUCACGAGAGGUGCACAAACAUCCAAAUGCACAUGAUCAGGUUAAUGUAUCUAUACCACCAUUUAAUGGCUGUUUUAAACCUGCUUUAUAUAUUGAAUGGGAGUUCGACAUAAAAAAUAUAUUUGCUUCCCAUAAUUUCGAUGAACAUAAAAAGGUUAAGGUUGCGGUUUGUUCUUUCACUGGUUAUGCUUUGGUUUGGUGGAGUGAAUAUUGUCGGUUACACCCUGAUUAUAUACCUACUACUUGGGAUGAUUUGAAACUUGCCAUGCGACAUACUUUCGUCCCUGCUUAUUAUACUCGUGACAUGAUUAAGAAGUUGCAACACUUAAAACAAGGUAGUGAAACUGUAACAAAAUAUUAUGAUGAUUUACAAACUACCUUGUUGCAUUCCUCUUUAGAAGAAAGUGAAGAUGAUUUUAUGGAUAGAUUUUGGGGAGGGUUAAACCAUGAUAUUCAAGAGAUACUAAUUCAUGAAGAGUGUUAUCCUAUGGACCAUUUGUUUCAUCUUGCUUGCAAAGCUGAACAGGAAAUAAAACGACGUGUUGCCCACGAGGAGAACAAGCGCACGGUGCACAUUCCAAGAGUUGAUAUGAUUGUUCCUUCAACUACUAGGCAUACUAUGACAACCACAUCCGUUGUUGUCAGGACUACAUCACCUCCACCAUGUGACACAUCGCCCCCGAGAGUGGCUACAUCAUCUGAGUUGAUCAUAAGAGGUAAUGACAAAGGUACUGAUCUUCCAUCUCUACAUGAGAAUGAUGAAUGCCUUGUCAAUUUGAAUGCACCAUCUGAUGAGCUACCCACUACUUUGAUCACACCACCUAUUUUAGAGGACUACGUUGAUAAUUUGACUUUGCCAUGUGAUCAAACAACUGAAAUACCAACAAUUUUGAGUGCACCCAUUGAAUUAACUAUUGAUGCAAAAGAACCAAUGUUUAAUCAUUUUGAUAUGACCUCUAAUCUUGGUGAUGAUUCUGUGUUGAAUGACUUAUUGCAUGUUUGCUUAUUUAAGCAUGUUGUAGCAUGUAAUUUUGAUGCAAGUAAGGUUUAUUCACCAAUGUUGGGAUGGUUUAAUGAUGAACAUUAUCAAUCUUUUGAAAUGAAUAAGACCUUCACUUAUAUGUGCAAACUGAGUUGCAAUAUUUUCAUGCCUUCUACUUCUUGUGCUAAUUUUUUGGCUUUAGAUUUUAUGAACUAUGCAAGUUACUCAUCUAUUCAUGUGUCAUAUAUGCAAAAAUCAAGGGAAGUAAAACUGGAUGACAUAUACAUAUACAACAUGUACACCUUGUCUCUUUUGUUAGCCACAUUUUAGAUUAAGCAAUGCCGAGGACGGCUUUAUUUUCAAGAAGGGGAGGAUGAUGAGGACAUGACUACCUUGGAUAUGACCAAAAAUAUUGCAUAUAUGCAUAUUUGUCAGGUGAUUUCUAGUGCAAACUAUUCAAUAAUCUAUUUAUGUUAUCCAGAACAAAAAUACUUCACACACUUUUGUGUUUUGUCUAAUUGCAGGUGUAUGGGACAUUUGUACAAUCCACAUAUGAAGAUAAGGAAGAAAGAGAUGUUUAUUUGCUGUCCAAAAAGUUCUCUCACGUCAGUUUUGGCCCAAGAGAAGAUAGAGUCCAAGUCUCUCAUGUUCUGGAUUCAGAUUCGGACUGCACAGACAUACCUGACUCAAAACGCACACAAGUUUUUCAUACGGACUCCGAAUUGGGUGAUUCUUUUUUUGUUGGAAACUAGAUUUCGUGCACUUUCCAACCCAAUUGAAAUCACCUUCAAAUUCGUCCGGAGCAUUGAGUUGUGGACGAAACAAUCUGAUGCUGCAGCAGAAUCCGAGUCAAACUACAAGUCCAAAGGUGUUACAUCACCUCCACUUGGGCCCAUUGGCCUUGUACGACCUAGAUUUAGUUUUAGGCUGCCUUGGGACGUCCUCCCACCUCCUUGGCCGCCACCCCUUGCUCCUAUAUAAGUAGAUCCAUCUAGUAGCUUUUCCUUGGGAUUUGUUUAGUUAAAAGUUAGCCAUUGCAACUUCGUGUGCUUCGUUUGUGUCCAACGACCAGACCAAGACCACUUUUCGGAUCCCCACCAUUAUCAAUACUUCAUACAUAUUCGCGAUAUUCAGAUUGCUUUUAUCAUAUUCUUGCUUGUUCUUCGAUUGCUUGCAGGAAUAGACCUUCGUGGUCAGGUUGAUCGUGCUCCGGCGUGGUCAAUAACCUCUCGGAGUUGGUUUAGCGAUUGCUAAGGCACAAUGUCGUUGCACGUUUGUAGUCGGAUCGUCAAAGUCGUCUCCACCAAAUCGAUAGUUAUCAUCUCAUCGAAAGAUCGGGACACCCCGCCUCUAUCACCUUGGUAUGGAACAAAUUGUGCCUCUGAUUUUGCUCAGCUUGUGUGACCGGCACACUCAAAACACGUUGAGCAACUAAACAUUCAUACCUGUCAGCGUCUUCAGGAGCCAUGUAUUGCGUCUCAUGAUCAGAAUCAUCUCCACCAUGUUCUUCACGUGUAAUAAGAGCCAAUGUCUCCUCAUCAUAGUCACUAGCGGACUCAUAUCCACCAUCCGCGGUAGCAAUCAUCACACGCGGAGAUUUGCAUUCUCUCGCAUAAUGACCUCCUCCCUUACAACGACGACAAAUAAUAUCACUUGUGUGCCCUGUUGAUGCCCUGGAAGAAGAAGAACUCUGUGCAGGCCCGGCAGGUGUGCUCUUGGCAGAUAAUGGUGGUUGUUCCUGUUUUCUUGUAUCACAGCUGUAGGAGGCACCUGAUUGAGGUGCUGGUGCAGUUGAAGUAGAAGAUGCACGCGGCGUCCAUGAGGAAGGUCGGCCUGCAGAAAAGUUAGUUCGCGCCAAUGCUUGUCGAUCCUGCACUUCACGUUCAGCUUUACAAGCAAGAUGGAAUAAACGAGUGAUAUUAGUAUACUCCUUAUAGUCUAGAAUGGUCUGAAUCUCUCUAUUUAAUCCACCCAGAAAACGUGCAAGCAUAGCUUCAUUCUCCUCAACAAUACCACAUCGAAUCAUGCCAGUUUGUAAUUCCUGAUAAUAUUCUUCUACAGAAUUUUUUCCUUGUCUUAAACGCUGCAAUUUUUGAAGCAAUUCACGAUGAUAAUAUGGUGGAACCCAACGCGUACGCAUAGCGGUUUUCAAAGCAGCCCAAGUAGUUGGAAUAGGAUAUAAUCUACAAUGUUCAGACCACCAGACACAUGCAAAACUAGUGAAAGCACAAACAGCAGCAGCAACCCGUCUCUCCUCGGGAUAUUGUAAACAUGUAAAACGUUGUUCAGUUUCUAACUCCCAAGUAAGAUAUAUAUCAGGAACAUAUCUACCCUCAAAUGGUGGAAUAUUCAAUUUCAGUUUAGGAAUAUUGAUGAGGACAUCAAUACCAUUGUUACACCCACAGCCCCUAUUGCUACAUAUACGGGACCAAUUACUAGAGCUCGCGCACGCCAAUUAAAUUAUCAGGUACUUUCGUUUCUUGGUAAUGAUUCUAAUGUUCAUGAGAAUAUGAUGCUGCCUAAAUUGGAUACAUUUGUUUUGCUUACAAAUGAAGGGCCUAGCUUGGAGAAGGAUGAACAUUGGAGCAAGAACAAGCAUGGAGAUGAUGCCAUGCGCAAGGGGAACAAGAACAGAGUUACAAGUGAUGAUUUCAGGACUUUGAAGCCACCAUAAUGGGUCCAUGAAGCCAUGGACGAAAUAUACAAGAUGCCACUUCAUAAAUUUCGUCCCGAGGCUAUUUUAGGUGCUGCGUCACCUUAUUAUUGGGCCAGGCCCAUGUAAUUUCGAAAUACAUAAGUAUAGGCUAUUUUUAGAGUCCGUAUGUGUGGGGAAACAAGAGAUAGGGUUGAUUUCGGACCCCUCCACCAAGGGCCACGAAAUUCCCCCCUCUUCCUCCAUAUAUACAGCCCUUAGGGCAUCGUUUAGACUUUGGGUUUUGUUUAGAUUAAAAGUUCGCCAUAGCUGCAACUUCGCGUACUUCGUUUGUGUUCAACGACCAGACAAAGGCGUCACAGAACCCCACCUUGAUCAAUAAAGCUUUCAUCUUAUAUUCGCAAUAUCCAGAUUGCAAUCUUAGUUUCUUGCUUGUUCUUCGUUUGCUCGCAGGAAACGGACCCUCGUGGUCAGGUUGAUCGUGCUCCGGCGUGGUCAAUAACCUCUCGGAGUUGGUUUAGCGAUUGCUAAGGCGCGACAUCCUCGCACGUUUGAUGAGGACAUGACUACCUUGGAUAUGACCAAAAAUAUUGCAUAUAUGCAUAUUUGUCAGGUGAUUUCUAGUGCAAACUAUUCAAUAAUCUAUUUAUGUUAUCCAGAACAAAAAUACUUCACACACUUUUGUGUUUUGUCUAAUUGCAGGUGUAUGGGACAUUUGUACAAUCCACAUAUGAAGAUAAGGAAGAAAGAGAUGUUUAUUUGCUGUCCAAAAAGUUCUCUCACGUCACUUUUGGCCCAAGAGAAGAUAGAGUCCAAGUCUCUCACGUUCUGGAUUCAAAUUCGGACUGCACAGACAUACCUGACUCAAAACGCACACAAGUUUUUCAUACGGACUCCGAAUUGGGUGAUUCUUUUUUUGUUGGAAACUAGAUUUCGUGCACUUUCCAACCCAAUUGGAAUCACCUUCAAAUUCGUCCGGAGCAUUGAGUUGUGGACGAAACAAUCUGAUGCUGCAGCAGAAUCCGAGUCAAACUACAAGUCCAAAGGUGUUACAUCACCUCCACUUGGGCCCAUUGGCCUUGUACGACCUAGAUUUAAUUUUAGGCUGCCUUGGGACGUCCUCCCACCUCCUUGGCCGCCACCCCUUGAUCCUAUAUAAGUAGAUCCAUCUAGUAGCUUUUUCCUUGGGAUUUGUUUAGUUAAAAGUUAGCCAUUGCAACUUCGUGUACUUCGUUUGUGUCCAACAACCAGACCAAGACCGCUUCCGGAUCCCCACCAUUAUCAAUACUUCAUAUAUAUUUGCAAUAUUCAGAUUGCUUUAUCAUAUUCUUGCUCGUUCUUCGAUUGCUUGCAGGAAUAGACCUUCGUGGUCAGGCUGACCGUGCUUCCAGCAUCGUCAGUAACCUCAGGAGAUUGGUUUAGCGAUUGCUAAGGCGCAACGUCGUUCACGUUUGUAGUCGUUUCGUCAAAGUCGUCUCCACCAAAUCGAUAGUUAUCAUCUCAUCGAAAGAUCGGGACCCUCGCCUCUAUCAAGUGGUAUCAGUUUUCAGGUUGCUCGGUGAGAUUUUACAAUUUUUCAUAGUUUAGAUCGCAUCUGUCAUUCAUACCUAUAGUCCAUGAAAAAGCCACAAAAAAAAGUUAGAUCUGUUCAUCCUUUAUCCAAGCCAGUCUGAGCCUUUGCAAUUUUCUAUUCGUUGCUUGCAUAGUUGAAUUAUCGGUUGCAUCGUCGUGUCAGUUGCUGGUCUUAGUGUCUAGUUCCUUUAGAGUUUCGAGUUCUGUUCACAUUAGUCACGCCGCCGCUGCAUCAUUAUCCCUUCCGCUGUCCACCAUCCCAUCUAUUAAUUUCCACCACGUGCUACGCACUGUUCAUUGUCAUAAUCAUAGUUGAGGUCAUUCACAUCUUCGCUUGAUCCAAUCUGCAUUUUAUCUAGUUUGUCUUGGAAAGAGGGAGAAA